UACGGGGGGUGCGAGCGUUGUCCGGAAUCACUGGGCGUAAAGGGCGCGUAGGUGGUCUUAUAAGGGUGUCGGUGAAAGCCCGGGGCUCAACCCCGGGUCGGCCGUGCCGACUGUGAGACUAGAGUGCUGGUAGGGGCAGGCGGAAUUCCGGGUGUAGCGGUGGAAUGCGUAGAUAUCGAGAGGAACACCUGCGGCGAAGGCGGGUUGCUGGGCCGACACUGACGCUGAUGCGCGAAAGCCAGGGGAGCGAACAGG
rnacentral:rRNA from 1 species